CACUGAUAAUUUGAUCGUCCUCGAUUUCGUUAAUUUCAAGUGGGCGGCAUGUGACUAUCGAGACCCUCUUGAGAGAACAAAAGAACGAUAACAAAUUAUGACAGCAAUAUAGUGGGGUUUUAGUUUGAGUCGGAUCGUCAGUGAAUGUGUUUCUUGUCUUUUGGUGGUUAUUGAGGAUCUGAUUUUGUGUUGUGUGUUUUUUUAGUAAUUUAUGCCCAGAAACUUGAUUAAAACGUAAAUUUUUUCACGGUUUAAAGGUUAUGCAUGUAUACGUACAUGGUAUAAUUAACACGAGUACCGGAGAGUAAAGUAUGUAUAAGUGUUUCUUUAUGAAAUAGCCUUGAGUUUGGUCAAAUAUCUUUUUUAAUCGCCGAGAUUUUGAAAUUUAACAGUGAAAAAAGGAGAAAGGCGAGAAGCGUGUAAAAAGGGUGUUUUUUAAAUAUUUUGGGCAAAUCUCAAGAUAUAGUGCAAUUCUGAGGUUAGAAUUUGAAUUCAGAGCAUCGAAAGCCUUCAGAAAAGUAACAUUAGUCUUCUGGGAAACAAUUUACUUUAAUAAAACAUUAUAUUCAAUAUUAUUUUAAGGAAAUAAACUUGUAAUUUUGUUUGUGUUUUAUUUUCACAUACCUUUUAGAGGAUGCUGGUGUUGGAGGUACGUUUUAGUGCCAAAAAUGAACAAAGUUCUCAAACGUACAUAGCAAUAAACGAAUGUACAAAAUAAUAGAUCUAAAUUAUCGUGGAAUACAAGAAAACUGGAAGAACAAUUUAUUUAAUUUUGCAAAGAUAUUUUUUUUUUCCAAAGUACAAUCUAAAGCAGUGGGAAUAGACGGUAUGAGUUCAUAUCUCUUAAAACUCUAUUGUCCAUAUAUUGUCCAUGUUAUUAUACAGGGUGUUUCAGAACUAUGGGAAUAAACUUCUGGAGGUUAUUCAGUGCAACAGAAGAACCCAUUUGAGUAUAGGAACCCAUGUCCGAAAAUGCGUCACUACGCCACUACGGCCCAAAGAUGGGUUAAAAUUUGUAAAAAACAUUAAUUACCUAAAUAGGAUCUGCUGCAUUUAUUUUUACCUUUUGUACAUGAUACCAUAACAACAAUUGUUUAAAAUUAACGCUCAUCAAUGUCAAUUCUCAAUGUCAUGUUUAAAAAUUUUAUAGCUUACAAUUUUUAAACAUAUAUUGCUAAUGGAAAACUUUACCAAUCAAGAAUUGGCGGAUAUGCAUUUGGCAUACGGAGCAACAAACUGCAAUGCACGAGCAGCGUCGCGGUUGUAUCAUGAACGUUAUCCUGAACGACAGCAUCCUGGAUAUAAAAAGUUUAUUGUGGUUUGUCGGCGGCUCGCUGAGACAGGCAUCUUUAAGACCAAGAUGCAUGAUACUGGUAUUGCUCGAACCGUAAGAACGGUCGAAUUUGAAGAAGAGGUGCUUCAGCGAGUUGCCGAUGAACCAUCAAAUAGCACAGGUGAAGUCGCUAAGAAUAUGAAUACGAGUAACGCUUCUGUCUGGCGGGUACACGAGCAACAACUCCAUCCUUACCACUUCCAGAAAGUUCAAGGGUUGGUUCGUACAUAAAAGAUCAAACACUUGUAUGCCGGUAUUCCUUCACUGUAGAAUAAGCGUGUUGGCAACAUUGGGGCAUCUUUGAGCAUCACUUGAGAUUAGUUUAUAAAAAUUAGGAUCUUUGGGAAUCGCAUACUACAAGGUAGAUUAAAGAUUUUUCGGAGCAAUAUAGCAUCGAGCUACAAGGGCUUUGAAAACCUCCAAUGGUUCGGCAUAAUUCUCGAUCCCAACCUAGAAAUGAGCUUAGAUUUCCUUAAAGUUACGAACUAUUCCAGAUGGAACGCACGCAGCUACAUCAAAAGAAUUUAUUCAGAAUGCAGAAAGAACAAACAGGCCAAGAACUAUCGAUAUAGUUGAAUCUGUUAAACGAAAUCCAGGUACCAGACAUAUCGAAUGAUAUUAUAACGCAAUAACAACACAGUUCCGGCCCAUUUCAUAUAGAAGUUUAUCCAUUGAUGUUCAGUUCCAAAUCAGUGGCUCUGAUGAAGAAAGAAAGCAAACCGAGGAAAAAUAACAAAUUGGUUGUACCAGCCUUAGAGCAGUACUCCUAGUGGAAUGAAAAAAAGAGAGAAUCUCAAACAAGCCUCCAUUUAUUACACCAGUUAUCAAGAGAGCAGUAGAGGUAUAAUUUUGGUAUAAUGUUAUUGUAAAUAUUUAUUAAUGUUUUUUUCCGUAAACUAAUGUAGCGGCUUACUGCCGGUCAGUUUCUGAACUGCCAUUGUGGACGUCAUCGUUUUCACAAACUAAAACAAUUUUAGACGUUUAUUUGAAUCUAGAUUAGUCCUAAUUUAUAUUGUGAAUAACAUUAUGAGUUUUCUUAUCUGUUGUAUCCCCUGUACGACCAUCAAUAAAUAAAUAAAAAUAAAAUAAUCAUAAAGUCUUUAUUGACCCUCACACAUAUGAUGAAAAAGUCUUAUUUUCGAUCCUGCGCAUAUCUACAAGUCAUAGCUUGCGACGUGGUCAUCAUAGGAUGGGUCGGAGGUAAAGUCUUCCGCGAGAUGGCGACUCCUCUGGCCAUUUCCGGUCUGUAGCCGGCGUAACUGGGCGAGGGCAUAUCGUGGGCCAAUCGCAGCCGUUCCUCACCCACCGCCUUCGCAAUUUCCUCUUUCGUUUCUUCACUCACCAGGUUCUUAAGGGGAUCCACGCAUGCGCCACACCUAAUUCAAUACAAAGUUCACAGAUGUGAUAAAUGUUUUAAAAAAUCACUUAUGUAAACGCCCCUUUAGUAGUAAACUUUUUACUAAAUAUAUUAGUUGUUGUCCUACUGACUGCUCCGUGUAGUCAUGUGUUUUUGGAGUUUGAGGAGGUAAAUAAUAGAAUGUCUUUCAAUUGAGAUGACAAAAUGGCUGUUGUAUCUACUAAAGGUGCUUUUACAUGAGCCACUAUAUAUUUCUCAUUAUCUAAGCGACAAAAGUAUAUAACGCAAGAGGCAAGUAGAAGUGUCUUUGGGGAAGGUUUCUUACAAGACGGGCGGAUCUUUAUUAAUCCAAAACUGCGCAGUCGGGUCCGAGGAGCCCCUCCUCUGUUGGUCGUCCCACGGUUUUCCCUCUUUGAUAAAUCGUUCCUCCAACGGGGGAUAGAGGUCGGUUUGCAAACUGACCAGGUCGCGGGUUUCGAUUUUCGAAAAAUUCGGAAUUUUCGGCUUGAAACCGGACGCACCCUCGAUUUCCGCAUUGCGCCACUCGCUGGUGUAGACGAACUGGCAGAGCAGCCGACGCAUCUCUGGAUCUGGCACGUCGUCCAGGCUGCAUGCCGGAGUCAUGUAAAUUCUUGGACGCGUUUUUUGGGCUUCCAGUUUAUCGACUUCCGGUAGAGGCGCCUAUAAAAGUCAAUUUAAAUUGGGUCAAAGGGUAUUGGAUAGUGUUAACGAAUAAUGAACCAAGGGCCAAUUCGUCAAAAUUGAGUUUUCUUAACAGGUGUAGUAAGGAUGUAGUACCAAUAUAGUUAUUCUAAGUCUUUCUACUACUGUAGAUGUAUUAAAUUAUGAAUAUAGCGGUCAAGAAACUGUUUAGAUUCUUCGUUUAUGUUAGAUACCAUUGAGGUAACUAAUAGUGUUUGUGGGUUACUAAACCUUUCAAAUAAACAACUUCUAUCUUCGAGAUAGAUAGGAUCGAGACUCUUCAAGUUUCUUUAAUAUUCUUCCACGUCAGCAUCGCUUAACUCUGUAUAUAGGGGGUCUUAUAGAUCAUCGUCAACAUAGAUUUAUGAAAGGUAGAUCUACCACCACAAACUUAGUUUGUCUUACAGAACAUAUAUCUGAGUCAAUAAAUGCCAGGUCACAGGUUGACGUUAUUUAUACAGACUUCUCGAAGGCUUUUGACCGUCUGGAUCAUGGUAUUCUUCUAAAUAAUCUUGACCAAAACUACGGUUUUUCUUCUCAUCUAAUACACUUUUUUAGCUUUUAUCUUACGGGUCGUCUUCAGCACGUGGAAUGUUAUGGCCGUAGUUCGGCUCAGAUAGUUGCAACGUCUGGAGUUCCACAGGGCUCCAUAUUGGGGCCGCUCUUCUUCAACACAUUUAUUAAUAGUAUAUCGGAACAGCUCACUGUAAAUAAUUUGUUAUAUGCGGAUGAUACAAAAUUGUAUUAUGGCAUCAAUAGUAUCUUAGAUUGUAUGGAAUUGCAAAAUAAUAUUAAUCUCCUCAAUGCAUGGUGCAAAAAUAACAAUCUUCCUCUUAAUGCUGCCAAGUGUAAAGUUGUUUCUUACUCUUUGAAGAAAAACCUGAUUAUGUAUGACUAUACUAUGGACAGUGAGACUGUCCCGAGAUCAACGGAAUUCAAGGAUUUGGGGGUGACAUUCGACAGCACUCUUUCCUUUCAGCCACACAUUCAGGACAUUGUUAAUCGGAGCUACAGAGUGCUGGGUUUGGCAUUAGGAACGCACAUAGCUUUAAUAAUAACUUUAGUCUUAAAAUUUUGUAUUUUUCUUAUGUGAGAUUAACACUGGAAUAUGCUUCUUCUGUGUGGUCACCAUUUUAUAUGAAUCAUAUACAUGAACUAGAAAAUCUUCAGCGUAAAUUCCUAAAGUUCCUUUCAUAUAAAUGUGACGGAGUGUACCCAGAAAUUGGUUUUUCACGCCUACUAGAAAGGUACUCCUUUAGUAGUCUUGAGGAGAGGCGAAAAUCUGCUGAUCUGAAAUUUUUAUUUAAACUUCUUAAUAAUAAAAUUGAUUCGCCAGACUUAUGUAAAUCUUCAUGUGCCCCGCAUAUCAUCUAGAAAUUCUGACAUAUUUUACCUAUCUAGACCUAGAACGAAUAUUUGUAAAUAUUCUUCAAUGCGUAGAGCAUGUGGCACUUUUAAUUCUGUUCAGGAUCAAUGUGACAUAUUCAACUGCAGUUUGUCCGAAAUUAAAAGAGUACGCGUUUCAUAGAUAGUAGACAUAAACAAAAUUAUUUUUUA